AUCCCGUCCAGUGGAUAGGACCCAGGCCUCCUAAGCUGGGGUUGCCGGUUCGAAUCCGGCACGGGAUACCA
rnacentral:tRNA from 1 species